GUACCACGGGACACGUGAAACCCUGUGGGAAGCAGGAGGGACCACCCUCCAAGGCUAAAUACUACCUAGUGACCGAUAGCGUAUAGUACCGUGAGGGAAAGGUGAAAAGAACCCCGGGAGGGGAGUGAAAUAGAACCUGAAACCCUGCACUUACAAGCUGUGGAAGCACAUUUCUUGUGUGACCGCGUACUUUUUGUAGAACGGGCCAACGAGUUACGUUAAGUAGCAAGGUUAAGCACUUAAGGUGCGGAGCCGUAGCGAAAGCGAGUUUUAACUGAGCGUUCAGUUACUUGACGUAGACCCGAAACCGGGCGACCUACCCAUGAGCAGGAUGAAGCGAAAGUAAAAUUUCGUGGAGGUCCGAACCCACGAGCGUUGAAAAGCUCGGGGAUGACUUGUGGGUAGCGGUGAAAUUCCAAUCGAGCCCGGAGAUAGCUGGUUCUCCCCGAAAUAGCUUUAGGGCUAGCCUCAAGGUGAGAGAUACGGAGGUAGAGCACUGAAUGUCCUAGGGGGUAUUGCACCUACCGAAGACUAUCAAACUCCGAAUGCCGUCAUCUUAUACUUGGGAGUCAGACUGUGGGUGAUAAGAUUCAUAGUCGAAAGGGCAACAGCCCAGAUCGUCAGCUAAGGUCCCUAAAUGUAAGUUAAGUGGUAAAGGAUGUGGGAUUGCACAGACAACCAGGAUGUUGGCUUAGAAGCAGCCACUCAUUCAAAGAGUGCGUAAUAGCUCACUGGUCGAGUGAUCCUGCGCCGAAGAUUUCCGGGGCUAAAACUUACUACCGAAGCUACGGCAUCAGUAAUGAUGGGUAGGGGAGCUUCCCAUACGGGUUGAAGCAUGACCGUAAGGACAUGUGGACAGUAUGGGAGUGAGAAUGUUGGCAUGAGUAGCGAGAUGUGGGUGAGAAUCCCACAGGCCGUAAACCCAAGGUUUCCAGGGGAAGGUUCGUCCGCCCUGGGUUAGUCGGGACCUAAGCUGAGGCCGAAAGGCGUAGGUGAUGGACAACAGGUUGAUAUUCCUGUACUACCGAUAACCGUUUGAGAGAAGGGAUGACACAGUAGGAUAAGCUAAGCACACUGUUGGUUAUGUGUGCCCAAGCAUUGAGGCAGUCAAAGUAGGCAAAUCCGCUUUGAUAAUGCUGGGAUGUGAUGGGGAGCGAAAUUUAGUAGCGAAGUAGCUGAUUUCACACUGUCAAGAAAAGUCUCUAUCGAGGUUAAAGGUACCCGUACCGCAAACCGACACAGGUGGGUGAGGAGAGUAUCCUAAGGCCAGCGAGAGAACUGUUGUUAAGGAACUCGGCAAAAUGACCCCGUAACUUAGGGAUAAGGGGUGCCACCAUCAGGUGGCCGCAGAGAAUAGGCCCAAGCGACUGUUUACCAAAAACAUAGGUUUCUGCUAAGUCGCAAGACGAUGUAUAGGAGCUGACGCCUGCCCGGUGCUGGAAGGUUAAGGGGAUCUGUUAGAGCAAUCGAAGCAGUGAACUUAAGCCCCAGUAAACGGCGGCCGUAACUAUAACGGUCCUAAGGUAGCGAAAUUCCUUGUCGGGUAAGUUCCGACCCGCACGAAAGGCGUAACGAUUUGGGCACUGUCUCAACAACAGACUCGGUGAAAUUGUAAUUCCGGUGAAGAUGCCGGAUACCUGCGACAGGACGGAAAGACCCCAUGGAGCUU
rnacentral:rRNA from 1 species